GGGGGUGUAGCUCAGUUGGCUAGAGCGCUUGAAUGGCAUUCAAGAGGUCACGGGUUCAACUCCCGUCACCUCCA
rnacentral:tRNA from 2 species